rnacentral:rRNA from 1 species
AUUGAACGCUGGCGGCAGGCCUAACACAUGCAAGUCGAACGAGUGGCGGACGGGUGAGUAAUGUCUGGGAAACUGCCUGAUGUAGGUGUAUAACUACUGGACACGGUAGCUAAUACCGCAUACCAUCAGAUUUUCCCAGAUGGGAUUAGCUAGUUGGGGGGGUAACCUCUCACCAAGGCGACGAUCACUAGCUGGUCUGAGAGGAUGACCAGCCACACGGGAACGGAGACACGGUCCAGACUCCUACGGGAGGAAGCAGUGGGGAAUAUUGGACAAUGGGCGCAAGCCUGAUGCAGCCAUGCCGCGUGUAUGAAGAAGGCCUUCGGGUUGUAAAGUACUUUCAGCGGGGAGGCGUUACCCGCAGAAGAAGCAACGGAUAAAAACGUGCCAGCAGCCGCGGUAAUAC